GGAGAGGUGUCAGAGUGGCCGAUCGAGCAUGCUUGGAAAGCAUGUGUACAGCAAUGUACCGCGGGUUCGAAUCCCGCCCUCUCCG
rnacentral:tRNA from 1 species